GUCCAGUAGUCAGUCUGGUGAGGUCCAGUAGAGUCAGUCUGGUGAGGUCCAGUAGAGUCGGUCUGGUGAGGUCCAGUAGAGUCAGUCUGGUGAGGUCCAGUAGAGUCAGUCUGGUGAGGUCCAGUAGUCAGUCUGGUGAGGUCCAGUAGAGUCAGUCUGGUGAGGUCCAGUAAUCAGUCUAGUGAGGUCCAGUAAUCAGUCUGGUGAGGUCCAGUAGAGUCAGUCUGGUGAGGUCCAGUAGUCAGUCUGGUGAGGUCCAUUAGUCAGUCUGGUGAGGUCCAGUAGAGUCAGUCUGGUGAGGUCCAGUUAGUCAGUCUGGUGAGGUCCAGUAGAGUCAGUCUGGUGAGGUUCAGUAGAGUCAGUCUGGUGAGGUCCAGUAGAGUCAGUCUGGUGAGGUCCAGUAGAGUCAGUCUGGUGAGGUCCAGUAGAGUCAGUCUGGUGAGG
ensembl:lncRNA